rnacentral:rRNA from 1 species
AACGAACGCUGGCGGCAGGCUUAACACAUGCAAGUCGAGCGCCCCGCAAGGGGAGCGGCCGACGGGUGAGUAACGCGUGGGAACGUACCUUUUGGUUCGGAACAACUCCGGGAAACUGGAGCUAAUACCGGAUAAGCCCUAACGGGGAAAGAUUUAUCGCCGAAAGAUCGGCCCGCGUCUGAUUAGCUAGUUGGUGAGGUAACGGCUCACCAAGGCGACGAUCAGUGGCUGGUCUGAGAGGAUGAUCAGCCACACUGGGACUGAGACACGGCCCAGACUCCUACGGGAGGCAGCAGUGGGGAAUAUUGGACAAUGGGCGCAAGCCUGAUCCAGCCAUGCCGCGUGAGUGAUGAAGGCCUUAGGGUUGUAAAGCUCUUUUGUCCGGGAAGAUAAUGACUGUACCGGAAGAAUAAGCCCCGGCUAACUUCGUG